GACGAACGCUGGCGGCGUGCUUAACACAUGCAAGUCGAACGGAAAGGCCCUGCUUUUGUGGGGUGCUCGAGUGGCGAACGGGUGAGUAACACGUGAGUAACCUGCCCUUGACUUUGGGAUAACUUCAGGAAACUGGGGCUAAUACCGGAUAGGAGCUCCUGCUGCAUGGUGGGGGUUGGAAAGAUUCGGCGGUUGGGGAUGGACUCGCGGCUUAUCAGCUUGUUUGUGGGGUAGUGGCUUACCAAGGCUUUGACGGGUAGCCUGCCUGAGAGGGUGACCGGCGACAUGGCGACUGAGAUACGGCCCAGACUCCUACGGGAGGCAGCAGUGGGGAUUAUUGCACAAUGAGCGGAAGCCUGAUGCAGCAACGCCGCGUGCGGGAUGCCGGCCUUCGGGUUGUAAACCGCUUUCGCCUGUAACGAAGCGUGAGUGACGGUAAUGGGUAAAGAAGCACCGGCUAACUACGUG
rnacentral:rRNA from 1 species